UCUCUUGACGUUAGCAACAGAAGAAGCACCGGCUAACUCCGUGCCAGCAGCCGCGGUAAUACGGAGGGUGCGAGCGUUAAUCGGAAUUACUGGGCGUAAAGCGCAUGCAGGUGGUUCAUUAAGUCAGAUGUGAAAGCCCGGGGCUCAACCUCGGAACUGCAUUUGAAACUGGUGAACUAGAGUACUGUAGAGGGGGGUAGAAUUUCAGGUGUAGCGGUGAAAUGCGUAGAGAUCUGAAGGAAUACCAGUGGCGAAGGCGGCCCCCUGGACAGAUACUGACACUCAGAUGCGAAAGCGUGGGGAGCAAACAGGAUUAGAUACCCUGGUAGUCCACGCCGUAAACGAUGUCUACUUGGAGGUUGUGGCCUUGAGCCGUGGCUUUCGGAGCUAACGCGUUAAGUAGACCGCCUGGGGAGUACGGUCGCAAGAUUAAAACUCAAAUGAAUUGACGGGGGCCCGCACAAGCGGUGGAGCAUGUGGUUUAAUUCGAUGCAACGCGAAGAACCUUACCUACUCUUGACAUCCAGAGAA
rnacentral:rRNA from 1 species